rnacentral:rRNA from 1 species
AACGAACGCUGGCGGCAGGCUUAACACAUGCAAGUCGAGCGCCCCGCAAGGGGAGCGGCAGACGGGUGAGUAACGCGAGGGAAUCUACCCAUAUCUACGGAAUAACGCAUGGAAACGUGUGCUAAUACAGUAUACGUCCUUCGGGAGAAAGAUUUAUAGGAGAUGGAUGAGCCCGCGUUGGAUUAGCUAGGUGGUGGGGUAACGGCCUACCAAGGCGACGGUCCAUGGCUGGUCUGAGAGGAUGAUCAGCCACACUGGGACUGAGACACGGCUCAGACUCCUACGGGAGGCAGCAGUGGGGAAUAGUGGACAAUGGGCGCAAGCCGGAGCCAGCCCUGCCGCGUGAGUGAUGAAGGGCCUAGGGUUGUAAAGCUCUUUCACCGGUGAAGAUAAUGACGGUAACCGGAGAAGAAGCCCCGGCUAACUUCGUGCCAGCCGCCGCGGUAAUAC